rnacentral:lncRNA from 1 species
CCUGGCUUUCUGUAGUGGCUACUUCCCAGACUUGGGAAACUUCUCCUUGUGGCAUUUGAGGAGGGAGAAGAAGCCGAAGCACUGGACGAGUCAGCAGGUGGGAAACUAGGAGAGGAAAUGGUCCUUCGCGGUCACCCUUGGUUUGCCCAGCUGUGGGAGCAAGUUUGGUGCAUGCCCCUCCACAUUUGGGCAACUCCCCGUGCGGAGUGCUAAAAUAUCGGAGCUGGAAGGAACUUGGAAAGGGAAUCAGAAAACCCGGAUUGGAAUCCAGGCGCUGCUCUAUUUAUUGGCAUUGGGACCUCCGGCAAAUCACUUCACUUCCUUAGACCUGGAUUUUAUCAUCUGUAAAGUGGGGACAGAAGAAACAGCAGAGCCGCAUGCUCAUGGCUUCAUGUGGAUCCUAGUUUCUGAAGACUGGAAAAGGCAUUGGUUGGCGGACGGGCACGUGAUAGGUGUCAGUAGGAUGUAACAUUUACAAAUGAGGAUUUACAUAGUUGAGGAAAGGUUUUAUUCAAAAAUCAAAGAGCACAAGACACCGGGUGUUAUUUAUUCAGAGUGAGGGAUGACUGAUUGACAAAUGCUUUGCUCCACUGGUAUCCUCUCAUUGUCAAGAGAAAAUGAAAUAGCACUUGGGGUGGAUUCCCUGUGUCACAUUUAGAGGAGGAAGCGAUUUGGAAUUGAACAGACUGACAUGUGUGGUUGAUUUUUUUUUUAACCCUUACCUUCUGACUCAGCAUCAGUUACAAGACAAAACCCUUACCUUCCAUCUUAGAAUCAAUACUAUAUUGGUUUCAAGGCAGAACAAUGAAUCUGCUCUAUUUUUUGGCAGUGGGACCUCAGACAAAUCACUUAACUUCCUUGGACCUGGAUUUUGUCAUCUGUAAAAUGGGAACAGAAACAACAGCAGAGCCAUGCAGUUAUAGCUUCAUGCAGAUUCAAGUCUCUGAAGAAUUGAAAAGGUGUUGGAUGGCAGAGAGGCACAUAAUAGAUAUCAGUAGGAAGUAAAUAGUCUAAUAAAGGUUAUACCAGUACUUACA